rnacentral:lncRNA from 1 species
GUCAUAACAAAGAUUUGACAUAGUUAUGCCAUUUGAGAUUUUUCUUGCAAAUAAUGUGAUGUUCCAAGUGUACAUGACUUUUGACACGUUUGAUUUUACAGGUGUAUGUGCCCAAAAAUAUGAAUGACACGUCACCUAGGUGCAUGACAGCAUUUAAUAGGGUGCAGUUUUCUUACAGAAAUGUCUUUUCAGUUGUUAUAAUGGUAAACUGGCAAAACAUUAUGGAUUUUCGCAAAUUUUGACAAAUCCCAGAGAGGAACUAAAAGACAAAGAGUUGUAACGAAUGAUGAGUACUGUGCUGGGGAAACAGUAAAGGCAUUUUGGCAUGAUGAGGAUGGGGAA